rnacentral:rRNA from 1 species
CCCUUAGACGUUCUGGGCCGCACGCGCGCUACACUGACGAAGGCAACGAGCUUUCCUUUACCGAAAGGUACGGGUAAUCUUUUGAAACUUCGUCGUGCUGGGGAUAGAUCCUUGCAAUUAUUGAUCUUAAACGAGGAAUUCCUAGUAAGCGCAAGUCAUCAACUUGCGUUGAUUACGUCCCUGCCCUUUGUACACACCGCCCGUCGCACCUACCGAUUGGAUGGUCCGGUGAAGCCUCGGGAUUGUGGUUCUUGCCGCUUUAUUGUGGCGUGACCGCGAGAACUUGUCUAAACCUUAUCAUCUAGAGGAAGGUGAAGUCGUAACA